rnacentral:rRNA from 1 species
AUUGAACGCUGGCGGCAGGCCUAACACAUGCAAGUCGAACGAGUGGCGGACGGGUGAGUAAUGUCUGUGAAACUGCCUGAUGGAGGGGGAUAACUACUGGAAACGGUAGCUAAUACCGCAUACCCUCGGAUGUGCCCAGAGGGGAUUAGCUAGUAGGGGGGGUAAAGGGUUACCUAGGCGACGAUCCCUAGCUGGGCUGAGAGGAUGACCAGCCACACUGGAACUGGGACAAGGGCCAGACUCCGACGGGAGGCAGCAGUGGGGAAUAUUGGGAAAUGGGCGCAAGCCUUAUGCAGAAAUGCCGCGUGUAUGAAGAAGGCCUUCGGGUUGUAAAGUACUUUCAGCGGGGAGGCGUUACCCGCAGAAGAAGCACCGGCUAACUCCGUGCCAGCCGCCGCGGUAAUAC